GAGAGCGGCGUACGGGUGCGGAACACGUGUGCAACCUGCCUUUAUCAGGGGGAUAGCCUUUCGAAAGGAAGAUUAAUACCCCAUAAUAUUUUGGAUGGCAUCAUUUAAAAUUGAAAACUGAGGUGGAUAAAGAUGGGCACGCGCAAGAUUAGAUAGUUGGUGAGGUAACGGCUCACCAAGUCGAUGAUCUUUAGGGGGCCUGAGAGGGUGAUCCCCCACACUGGUACUGAGACACGGACCAGACUCCUACGGGAGGCAGCAGUGAGGAAUAUUGGACAAUGGGUUAGCGCCUGAUCCAGCCAUCCCGCGUGAAGGACGACGGCCCUAUGGGUUGUAAACUUCUUUUGUACAGGGAUAAACCUAUCUACGUGUAGAUAGCUGAAGGUACUGUACGAAUAAGCACCGGCUAACUCCGUGCCAGCAGCCGCGGUAAUAC
rnacentral:rRNA from 1 species